rnacentral:misc_RNA from 1 species
AGCAGCCGCGGUAAUUCCAGCUCCAAUAGCGUAUAUUAAAGUUGUUGCAGUUAAAAAGCUCGUAGUUGAAUUUCGGGAUCAAAGGAUCGGUCAUGCCUUGGUAUGUACUGGUUUUAUUGGUUCUCACCUUCUAAAGAACCAUAAUGUCAUUCAUUUGAUGUUAUGGGGAAUUAGGACUGUUACCUUGAAAAAAUUAGAGUGUUUAAAGCAGGCUUACGCUUGAAUACAUUAGCAUGGAAUAAUGAAAUAGGACAUCAGAUUCUAUUUUGUUGGUUUCUAGGAUCGAUGUAAUGAUUAAUAGGGAUAGUUGGGGGCAUUAGUAUUCAAUUGUCAGAGGUGAAAUUCUUGGAUUUAUUGAAGACUAACUACUGCGAAAGCAUUUGCCAAGGAUGUUUUCAUUAAUCAAGAACGAAAGUUAGGGGAUCGAAGACGAUCAGAUACCGUCGUAGUCUUAACCAUAAACUAUGCCGACUAGGGAUCGGAUGAUGUUAAUUUUUUAAUGACUCAUUCGGCGCCUUAC